GUGCCAUGUGAAAUUUCUGUCAUAUACUGUUACCUGAAGUAGCCUUGCCCACCACCCCACCUGCCCUUUGAAUGCCAGUGUGAAUCCUACAUGUGUUCACACACCAGGUCAUUUCGCUUCUCUGUAUGAAGCUGAAUUAGUCCGUUCUCACUUUGCUAUGAAGAAAUACCCGAGGCUGGGUAAUUUAUAAAGGAAUGAGAUUUAAUUGACUCACAGUUCCACAUGGCAGGGAAGGCCUCAGGAAACUUACAAUCAUGGUGGAAGGCACCUCUUCACAGGGUGGCAGGAGAGAGAAUGAGAGCCGGCAGGGGAAAUGACAGAUGCUUACAAAACCAACAGAUCUCCCGAGAACUCACUAUCAUGAGAACAGCAUGGGGGAACCGCCCCUGUGAUUCAAUUACCUCCACCUGGUCCUGCCCUGGAAAUGAGGGGAUUAUGGAGAUUACAAUUCAAGGUGAGAUCUGGGUGGGGACACAGAGCCAAGCCAUAUCAGAAGCUUUUAGCAGUUAUCUUAGCUCACAAUGGACUCUUCCUUCUCCUAAUUUUUCUGACACUUAUAGUCAGAAUCAUGUAACUUAGCACAAUAAAGUCUUGCAUUGACCUUGGAUUGAUUAACAUCUUCUAUGUCUUUCCAAGCUUUUUAUGUCUCCAACAAAAUUACGUAUGUGGACUAAAUAUUCUACUUUUUACAUUUUCCAGUGCCUAGUAUAUAGUAAUUCACAUUCAUGGGUAUUUGUAAUUUGAGUCCAUAUAGUUUCUGACUAUGGAUCCAGAAGAUGUCAUUGGCUGAAAUUAUGUUAACUUUUUUUAAUGCCUCUUCAUACUAUCUUGUAUAUGUUCAGUGUCCAAAUUAAGUUGUUGUCUGAUUGUUUCCCCACCCUCCACACAUAAAUAUGAACAAACAAGCAGACAUUUACUCUGAAGGAGUCCAGGUACACUACCUAAGCGCAUGUCAAAGAAUUAUUUUAAGUGAGACUUCCAGUUUCCCCCUCCGAUUUUAUCAAAAAAGUUUACAUAGAUAUUUCUUCUGAAAUAAAGCCAAGAAAGACUUAAAACCACAUUUACCUAAACAUAUGGAACAUGUCCUCAUCCCUAACAAAAGCUCUCAAUGUUAUCAAUUAAAAAAAUACAACCUGGAAUUGAGACCUGUAUUCAUUUUGGAACAAACCUCAAAUUCGUAUUUUUGUGGUGAGACCAAAUUGAAAACCUCAUCUUUAAGCAAUAAAUAUCUCUGAGCAGAUUCUCUCUACUUCAGCCACCAAAGUAAUUCCUUGUUUCCAAAAUUUGUAGAAAAGCUUGUGAGCAAAUUAUUUCUAAAAUGACAGACUUUUUCCUCUGUACUUCAAAAACUAUAUAUUGCAUGCCUACUCUAGGCAUGGGAUUGUGUUAAUUGUACCAUGGAUGAUGUAACAAAGACUAAAAUACCAUGCAUAUCUAGGGUGACUAUAUAGUUUAUCACCAAACUAGAACUGUUUUGAGAGUGAAAGGAGAGUUGUUAGAAUCCUGCUAGGCUGAUGAGCAUAAACAAAAUUCUGCAUGUGUAGCCACCCUGUACAUCUGUGUCAGUUUCUUAUGGCUACUCUAACAAUUACCAUAAACCUGGUGGUUUGAAAUAACAUAAAUUUAUUCUGUGACAGUUCCAGAGGCCAGAAGUCCAAAAUUAGUAUCACUGAGCCAAAAUCUCCAUGUUGACUGGCUGUACUCCUGGAGACUCUCAGGAGAGUCCUUUUCUCCUCUCUUCCAGCUUCUGGCGGCUGCCCACAUGCCUUGGCUUGUGCCCGCACCAAUCCAGUCUCUGCCUAUGUGGUAGCAUUGCUUCCUCCUCUUCUGUCUUUAUGAAAUCACGCUCUGCCUCCCUCUUAAGGGAACACUUGUGAUGGUGUUCAGAGUCCACCAAAAUAUUCCAGGGCAAUAUCUCCAUCUCCAUGUUAACUUAACCAUAGCUGCAAAGACCCCUUCUCCUCAUACAAAACGAUGUUUACAAAUUCUAGGGAAAAGGCCUGAUAUCUUUAGAAGAUAUUAUUCCGCUCACCACACGAUUCCCAUCUUUUAAAAUUAGACACCUCAUCAGGAAGUAUUGUGAUUUGGUGACACAUGAGUGAUAUGGACAAUACUGUGCUGUAGAAGAAACAAAUCACUUGACCUUGAGGCACCCUUACCUUGAAAGAAUAGGCAGAAUUUGGAAAAAUACAGAGGAAUGCAUCACUGACAGGUAAAGCACAAGCAAAGGUUUGGAAGAGGGGCUAAGCAAGGAUGUUUGGGGGACAAAAAAGGAGACCACCUUGCCUUGAAUAUAGAGUUCACACAAGAGCAGCAGGGGAGAAGCAUGAACGUCAGUUUGGCAUCAGGGGGCUGGUUUUUCCUCAUUCCAAGCUCUUCUCAUUUUUCUACUUUAUUUACUUGAAAACUCUCUUUCUCCUUAAUCUUUCAGUCAGUUAAUCUUUACACCUCCAUGAUCCUUCAUUUCUUUUCCCCUUUGAUGAUUUCUGAUGCUCUGCUUCUGAACUCUUCCUAAGUUCUGCCAUAGUGAUUCCCCUCUGUCUGUACUGCUGUUCCUACUGCUUUGCUUUGCAGCUCUUCUGCAUUUGACUGUGAGCUCACUGAAAGAAAGGACCGUGGCAUGUGCAUCUUUGUGUCUCCAGAAUUUAAUUAGCACAGGGAGUAAUUUAUAAGGGGUGAAUGAAUCAGUAUGGAGAUUUAUACCAAGGACCCUCAACUUCACUGAAGGUCUUUAAUGAUGGUGCUGAUGUUAGUGGUGGUCGUGGCGGUAUUUAAUUAUUUUUUCUAGGUAGGGAUCCCUUCUUUCCUCCUCUUCCCGUUCACCUGCUCUUCAUCACAGACAAGUAUGGAGCUCCUCAGGCACCAUCCAAAUUAGGGUCAUCCUAAUAAUUUGACCCCUUCAUCUACUUAGGAGGAAAUACUGAAAUCCUCCCUAAUAAAAAGCUAGGUACAGUAUGUUCUGUCUGGAGAUAUUCAGAGAUGGUAUAAAUUAUUUUCUUCUGUCAAUUUCAGGUAUGCUUGUCUCACUUUCUCAUACGUAUUAACUCACUUUUAAUAAUCUACCCAUUUUCUCUUGUUCUGCCUUUAGGCAAUUGGGAAAUAAGUGAUUGGGCACUUGUUCUUGAUAACUUGUGGAUGGUUUUGGUUUCUGGUUGCUGUAAUUAAAGGUGACUUAAGUAGAAGAAAUUAGGUGUCUGCCCACUAAUAAGCAAGGUGAUGUUCAUAAGCUGCUUUGCCACUAUUGGCCUCAGAGCUUCAACCCCAGCAACUUCCAUUAAAGCCAGGGAUUAACUAUUAGUGCAGCACAGUGGAAGGAACCAGAAGAACAGUUCUUUGGGUCCCAGCAACAAAUUACUUCUGAAUGAAACCUCUGAUUAAUGGCUCCAGAGUUGCCUCUUUGUUUUGCAUAAUUAAGUUUCAUGGAGUGUUACAAUGAACAACCUUGCCAUCACCCAGGUAGAAACAGCCACCAUUUAUUUGGCCAGCAGUGUCAGAAAGUGCUGGGUGGUGAAUAAGAAGCAUUUAUGAGGGGAUUAGGUGCAUUUGGGUCAUAAUUGAAUAAGGCUAUAAUUACUUUUCAUUAAAAAGCUACAAAUAGGAUGACCCUAUGAUACUACACCAAGUCCCCUUUCAUUUUUUUUUUUCCUGCUGAUCUGGGUCUAAGAACUUCCUUCUCUAGUCAAAUAAUGGCCAUAAUACAGAGAAAUUUGUAGUUAUAUAUGAAAGUUGACUGUUUCCUCUUUCUGCACCUCCAGCGCAUAUCUUGUUUUAUGACAUUUAUUAUGGCCGCUUUUGUUAUCACACAAGCAGUCUGAUAUGCAAUGUAGAUGUCAAGUAAGCUUGAGACUCUUGUAGCUGCCUGAGAAGAAAGUCAAGGUUCAUUGGGGCUACUGGGAGACAACAAAGUGUCUAGUACGUUGUUGCUGGUGAGCAGGCCAGGAAUCAACCAUUUGUCCAUGUCAAGAGAUUAAAACAUGAUCAAAAAAUGUUUUCUUUAUAGUUUUUUUUCCCCUGUGGAAUGACAUUUCUCUGACACAGUUAUUCCUUUGACCAGUAUCGUUUUGAUGUUAAGGCAGAGAGACCAAGAGGAGCCAUUGUAGGGAUGGCAUCCUCUGUUCUAGUCAAGUUUUCCUUGGGUCAAUAGAAUUUUUUAAAAAAUGAAUAAUAGCAACUACUUGUAUGGAGUUUUCUACAUGCCAGGUACUUUUCUAUGCUCUUUACUUGAACAUAUUUAUUUAAUGAAGAAUUUGCUCCAAAUAUUUGAUGAUUUUUACCAUUUUCUGUCUUUCUUACUUCCUUAUUUUUACCAUCCCUCUCUUCCUGAAUUUAUCUAUUUCCUCUCUGCUCCUUUCUCCUGCUCUCCCUCCCUAUCUUUCUUCUUGGCUAUCUUUAUACUGUGUCUGGGAUUUGAUCAAGGGAGAAAGAGAAAGCAAUAUGAAACCUGAAGAACACAAUUCAAGCCCUGGAACUACCACUAGACAUGAGUGUGAUUUUGAGCAAGCUGAUGAAUCAAAUUGGGCCCUAUGUUGCUUAUAAAGAAGAAGGAAAAGGAGGAGAUGAAGAAGGAGGAGUAAGAAGAGAAGCAGGAAGGAAUGAAGAAGAAAGAAGGGGAGAAGGAGGAGAAGGGGGAGAAAUAGAAGGAAGAGGAUGAGAAAUUGGAGAAAGAAGGGGAGGAGGGAACAGUAGUAAUACCUAUUCUACCCAUAGUAAAAUGUUGCCAUAAAAAUCAAAGGAGACAGUGCCUAUGAAAAUCCUCUGUAAAUUGUAAAGAACUCUACGAAUUCAACUUUUUUUGCUGACCUCCUAAUGGAUGUUUUCAGGAAUUUUACUAAGAUUUAGAGCCAGGCAUAUGUUUUUUAAAAGAGAGAGAGAUCAUGCUCUAGACAAAUUGGGUGCCUCAUUAUACACUUACCAGGAGGAAAAUGCUGCCAUUCCUGGCUAAAAACCCAUUUGUCUUGCAAAUAUCUAUAAUGAACAGAUUUUGGGAUAAAUACUAUGUAAUCUGUGAUGACAGUUCUCUCAUUUCUUUUUUAUUAGUUCAAUCUUCUCAGCAUCUGAACCACAUAGCUACAGAACCUCCAUAAUCAUUAAGGCAGCUGGGACGUAUGCAUUUUUUCUCCUUUCCUUGGCACAUCACAGAGUCCCCAAUCAGUCCCUUGUUACAAGGCCUAUGUUCUAGUAGUAGUUAAAUGCACCUGUAUAAGAAUGCCAGAACAGAAAAGAAAACAAACAGCAGGGUGCAUGGCCUUUGCAACAAAGUUCCAUUUUCACAACUGACCUUUCCCUGGGUAUUUAAAACUUGGGUUUUACUUGGAGCUUGUGGAUAAUUUGCAUUGCACUAAACAUCCCUUUGCUUAAAAUAGAUAAUCUCAGUGGAAUAUAAGGUGGUUGCAGUAAACUCUAACCCACCUUAUUCUCUAUCCCUUUUCCCUUUGUCUUUCCCUAG
rnacentral:lncRNA from 1 species